AUUGAACGCUGGCGGCAGGCCUAACACAUGCAAGUCGAACGGUAACAGGAAGCAGCUUGCUGCUUCGCUGACGAGUGGCGGACGGGUGAGUAAUGUCUGGGAAACUGCCUGAUGGAGGGGGAUAACUACUGGAAACGGUAGCUAAUACCGCAUAACGUCGCAAGACCAAAGAGGGGGACCUUCGGGCCUCUUGCCAUCAGAUGUGCCCAGAUGGGAUUAGCUAGUAGGUGGGGUAACGGCUCACCUAGGCGACGAUCCCUAGCUGGUCUGAGGGGAUGACCAGCCACACUUGAACUGAGACACGGUCCAGACUCCUCAGGGAGGGAGCAGUGGGGAAUAUUGCACAAUGGGCGCAAGCCUUAUGCAGCCAUGCCGCGUGUAUGAAGAAGGCCUUCGGGUUGUAAAGUACUUUCAGCGGGGAGGAAGGCGAUGUGGUUAAUAACCGCGUCGAUUGACGUUACCCGCAGAAGAAGCACCGGCUAACUCCGUGCCAGCAGCCGCGGUAA
rnacentral:rRNA from 1 species